UACGUAGGGGGCGAGCGUUGUCCGGAUUUAUUGGGCGUAAAGAGCGUGUAGGCGGCCAGGUAGGUCUGCUGUGAAAACUCGAGGCUCAACCUCGAGACGUCGAUGGAAACCAUCUGGCUAGAGUCCGGAAGAGGAGAGUGGAAUUCCUGGUGUAGCGGUGAAAUGCGCAGAUAUCAGGAAGAACACCCGUGGCGAAGGCGGCUCUCUGGUACGUGACUGACGCUGAGACGCGAAAGCGUGGGGAGCGAACAGG
rnacentral:rRNA from 1 species